UUGUGCGGGAAAAACAUGGCGCCCCAUGUGCGCUUUCCGUACAGAAGGUUCAUUGUGUGGGAAACAGCUCAGAGUGUGGCCUAGUAGUGUGGCCCAAGCCUUGUGUGAGUAAUCUGCCUCAGUGCCUGCACAUAUGGCGCUGCUUGGCCUGUAUUGUUCCCUCACACAGCGAUAAACAACCCUGAGAGGCGCAAUAUCUGCAGUAAAACUAUUGACUGACUGACUGAACCUAUUGGUCCCCUGUAACCGCCAUGGGAAGAUCCUCAUUAUAUCCAGGGCCGGCCGAGACAUCCUACAGGGCAACAGUGCCACCAACUGGCCAUUGGGAGAAU